UAUUGAAACACUGGUUCUCGUACGAUGUCGGAAGUUAAGCAAAGCUGAGCUCGGUCAGUACCUGGAUGGAUGUGCGCUUGGGAAUACCGGGUGCUGUAAU